AGUACGGUCGCAAGAUUAAAACUCAAAGGAAUUGACGGGGACCCGCACAAGCGGUGGAUGAUGUGGAUUAAUUCGAUGCAACGCGAAAAACCUUACCUACCCUUGACAUGUCACUAACGAAGUAGAGAUACAUUAGGUGCCCGUAAGGGAAAGUGAACACAGGUGCUGCAUGGCUGUCGUCAGCUCGUGUCGUGAGAUGUUGGGUUAAGUCCCGCAACGAGCGCAACCCUUGUCUUUAGUUGCUACGCAAGAGCACUCUAAAGAGACUGCCGGUGACAAACCGGAGGAAGGUGGGGAUGACGUCAAGUCCUCAUGGCCCUUAUGGGUAGGGCUUCACACGUCAUACAAUGGUGCGUACAGAGGGUUGCCAACCUGCGAGGGGGAGCUAAUCUCUUAAAACGCAUCGUAGUCCGGAUCGUAGUCUGCAACUCGACUACGUGAAGCUGGAAUCGCUAGUAAUCGCGGAUCAGCAUGUCGCGGUGAAUACGUUCCCGGGUCUUGUACACACCGCCCGUCACACCAUGGGAGUGGGUUUUGCCAGAAGCAGUUAGCCUAACCGUAAGGAGGGCGAUUGCCACGGCAGGGUUCAUGACUGGGGUG
rnacentral:rRNA from 1 species